GUCUCUUGUCAUGUAGUAUUAUGGCGUUGUGAGGUCUCUUGUCAUGUAGUAUUAUGGCGUUGUGAGGUCUCUUGUCAUGUAGUAUUAUGGUGUUGUGAGGUCUCUUGUCAUGUAGUAUUAUGGUGUUGUGAGGUCACUUGUCAUGUAGUACCAUGGCGUUGUGAGGUCACUUGACAUGUGUCUUGUCAUGUAGUACUAUGGUGUAAUGUGGUUUCUGUCUUUUGUCAGUAUAUCCAUUUAUUUUCAUUUUGCAUUCCAUCCAGACCUCUGCCACAAGAUGCAUUUUCCCUCAUGCCUGGGCAUCAUUGUAAAUAAGAAUAUGUUCCUAACUGAGUUGAUUGGUUGCAAUGGUUAACUAUAAAUACAAAAAUAAAUAUAGUCAUGGCACGUGUGGUUGUCAGAAAUCUUCUAAAAGGCAGCAGAAGCCAACAAGACACGCUAGACGAUACCGAGUGACAAAAACAAAAAUGAGAAUGAUCAGGGUGUUGUGUAACUGAUACUUGUUUAUGGGUUUUAUUACAGAUGAUAAAUCAGAGGCCUACUGGCCAGGAGUAUGUGAGGAAGUUAGACCUGAUUAUGCCAUAGGUGAUAAGUUGUUCCAUGAAAUCACGCUUUAUUUGAGUUGUUUGAAAUAAACACGGCAGCUGCUCGCCUUAACCUUCCGGAGUGUGGAUGAACAGAUUUCUGUCAGACGCUGUGCUGGAAGUCUUUUCAGGGUCAAUGCUGAUAGUUCUGCAUCACACUGCACUGCACUGGCUUGGGUUUCAUCUUCACACAACCCUUUAUAGUGCAGUUUCAGAAACUAGGGGAAUUUUGUAACCAGGCCGACUCGGUAUAGCUUGGCUCAGAUGUGUUAAAACAGUUUGCCUGUUCCUCUUCAGCUAUGUUUCGCGUUCGGGCAGCUGUGUGUUCAUUCAUCUGUUUUCCAAGUUCGCCAAACAACAGAGGCGACUCACCCACUCCGGGAGUGCCAGUCUCCCAUUCAACAUGGCUACAGUAAGCCCGUGCCUCGCAGCCACAGAUACCGUACAUGUAGCUGACACUCUUAUUCGGAGCAACAUGUAGUAACUACAGCACGCUAAGGUUUGUUUUAGUUGGCGGGGGAGGACCGAGAUUAGGAUUUAGGAUUGUAAGAUACCAAUUAAACAUGUCCUUAACCAGCAGCUUCUCCGGGGCCCGUAAAAUAAAACCUGAAUACACAUGUACGGUAGGAGGUAAACCUAUAUUUAAAAUGAAUAGAACGUGAAGCUGGGUAGGUAACUAGAUUCAGCUCCGGGCCUGUUGUUGUCAGGACGGAUGGUCGGGGGGGGGGGGUGUCAUUAUAAUAACUUUCAAAUGUCAUCUCUACACUGCAAGAUGAGCACCCCCCCCCCAAAAAAAAAUGUUUUAUUUGAAAAUAAAAUGACGGUGGGGUCUGUUCUUGCCAACCCCGAACACACAGAAUACAAAUAGAGCAGCCCAUUACAUUUGUUUGCCAUUCGUUUUAACCUUGAACAGGUUUAAUUAUAGUUGCUGCUCUGAAGGCGGGAAGUGUUUUUCUAGCCUUGAGCAGCCCUAUUAUAUCCUCAUGUUGGAUGUUCCGCAAACAAAGGACAAAAUACAUAUUAAAUGGCAGUGAAUCACACAAUCUCCUGUAAUACAAUAAUAACAACCUGGCAAUCUGUUGCUUUUCUUAGAAAACAUAUUGAACAUUGCAAAGCUCUGUACCUAUUAAGGAAAUGAACAGGGUCCCCUUGAACUCUGACCUUGCCAUCAUAUACUGCCCUUAAUGGGGCUUCUGAUGGCAUCGUGCAGUUAGACCUGAUCAAAUGAAUUUGGGGGUUGCCAUGACAAAAAGAGGGCCAGAUUGAACAUUUAAACAGAACAUCAGGGAUAACAUUUCAACUCUUAUGAUCAGUGUCACGGGAUCUCUAGUGACCACAGAGAAUGAGCACUGAAACAUGGCACUCUACAGUGGUUGCUAUGCUGGGUGCUAUACAGUGAUGUGUAGGUUGCUCUGUUGGGUGCUAUACAGUGAUGUGUAGGUUGCUAUGCUGGGUGCUAUACAGUGAUGUGUAGGUUGCUAUGUUGGGUGCUAUUCAGUGCUAUGUGGCUAGCCUCUGUGGUACAUACACUUACACCUACCUAGAUUGUUUAUAUGAACAUACCUGGUCACGGUAGACUUCCGUGUGAUAACAAAACAGAACCCAGCCUUAGAAGGCAGUGAGUCUCAUUUGGGUAUCACUGUUUUGCAUGACUCCUUGUAAACGACCAGGGGAGGAAAACCCAAAAGCCUCCUUGGCCUUCCAGUGAACACUGUUUUCAGCUGGCAGUGUUCUAAUGUUUCCUGCUGUGUUAGUACACUUCAAACACACACACACAAAGACACACCUCUGAUUGUUUUUGUCCAUGCCACAAAGACCCAAUACAAUAGGCCUGCUAAUCCGCGAAACACUGUGACACACAACGCGGUGCAUUCAGGCAUGGAAGAAUGUUUCCCCCUUCUAAGACAAGACAAUGAAGGAUUUGUCAAGGUAAAAUUCAGGUUUUGCAAAGCUGCUUUGAUUAGCACAUUAUUAAAGGAACAGUUCACCUGAACACAUUUCUG
ensembl:lncRNA